rnacentral:rRNA from 1 species
AUUGAACGCUGGCGGCAUGCUUUACACAUGCAAGUCGAACGGUAACAGGCCGCAAGGUGCUGACGAGUGGCGAACGGGUGAGUAAUGCAUCGGAACGUGCCCAGUCGUGGGGGAUAACGCAGCGAAAGCUGUGCUAAUACCGCAUACGAUCUGUGGAUGAAAGCGGGGGACCUUCGGGCCUCGCGCGAUUGGAGCGGCCGAUGUCAGAUUAGGUAGUUGGUGGGGGAAAGGCUCACCAAGCCAACGAUCUGUAGCUGGUCUGAGAGGACGACCGGCCACACUGGGGAUGAGACAGGGCCCAGGCUCCUGCGGGAGGCAGCAGUGGGGAAUUUUGGGCAAGGGGCGCAAGCCUGAUCCAGCAAUGCCGCGUGCAGGAAGAAGGCCUUCGGGUUGUAAACUGCUUUUGUACGGAGCGAAAAGGCUCCCUCUAAUACAGGGGGCUCAUGACGGUACCGUAAGAAUAAGCACCGGCUAACUACGUGCCAGCAGCCGCCGCCGUAA